ensembl:lncRNA
AGAAAUCAAAUAUUCUAUAAAAUGUAAAUACACUGAACUCAUUUGGAUAUAUUUUAGUGAGACUCUACAAUAUUAUUUGACACAAAUCUAUCUAAAUCAAAGUUUUAAUAAUUUUCACGCCAAACAUUUCCUGGACUGAUUUAAAUAUUAAAAUCACUCCUUUCUAAUCCUCUGCUGUGUGUUCAAACCUGAGGCCUUAAAUAGAAACACACAAGUAUCUGUUUGAAGGAACUUCUGUAGAGUCCUGGUUCCAGAACAUGAUGAUAGAAUUAUAGACAAACUUUAACAAAAGCUGCCUGAGAGUUUACAGGUUUUUAUGUUAGAUUUUGUUCAGUAGUUUAAUGAGUUAUCAGCAAAAAUCUAAUGUUGAUUUGAUGAACUUCAUUUCCUAAAACAUCCAGAAUUGGCGCUCAUAUCUUUGGCAGCUGUAAAGUUUCUGCUCCUUCAAAGUUGACAACACAAUGAAUGAAUUCCUAAAACACUCUCAAUGCUGGAGAGCGUUUGUGAUGCUGAAGCAGUGAUCAGUUUUUCAGUUUCUUCUCUGGAGAUGCACAAUGAGGGACGUCUGCAGCGACUGAGAAAGAGUCUCACCGCAUCCUGACAUGAGGAAAAAGACUUUAUUGAAGACUACAAUGAGAAAAACUAUCAGACAGCAGACGGCUGCAUUCAAGGUGAGCUCUGAACAUUUGAUCUGGAACAGGAAUUCAAUAACUGCAGCAUGAGCUUCAUUUCAGUCUGUAGCUGCUGAAUUCAUGGAUGAAUCAUCUGGCACUAGAGAAGAAGACCAUCAAACAUCCAUGUCAGCUGAUGGAGGUCCAAGAGUCUCACCAAACAACCUACAGAUUUAGGCUGUUAGAUUGUUCCAGAUAAGACAAGUACAAGAUACUUCAGAGCCGUUCUAC